rnacentral:rRNA from 1 species
CCUACGGGAGGCAGCAGUGAGGAAUAUUGGUCAAUGGACGAGAGUCUGAACCAGCCAAGUAGCGUGAAGGAUGACUGCCCUAUGGGUUGUAAACUUCUUUUAUAUGGGAAUAAAAUGUUCCACGUGUGGGAUUUUGUAUGUACCAUAUGAAUAAGGAUCGGCUAACUCCGUGCCAGCAGCCGCGGUAAUACGGAGGAUCCGAGGGUUAUCCGGAUUUAUUGGGUUUAAAGGGAGCGUAGGUGGAGUGUUAAGUCAGUUGUGAAAGUUUGCGGCUCAACCGUAAAAUGGCAGUUGAAACUGGCAGUCUUGAGUACAGUAGAGGUGGGCGGAAUUCGUGGUGUAGCGGUGAAAUGCUUAGAUAUCACGAAGAACUCCGAUUGCGAAGGCAGUUCACUGGACUGCAACUGACACUGAGGCUCGAAAGUGUGGGUAUCAAACAGGAUUAGAUACCCCAG